CGGUUCUCUAAUUUGACUCAGCUUCAGAUUGGAAUGUUUCUCUCCUCACUGGGAAAAGCUCCUUUGGUCUCAGUGAACUCAGAGGUGGAGAAAGUCAUAAGAAUCAGGGAGCCUGCCCCAAAUUGCCUCCUAUGAUAACUUUCCACAAAGACUGGAGGGGAGGCUUCAAACAUCUUCCUGCAGUGUCCAGCAAGACAGCGAGGCAGACUCCCUUUCUCCUGCCAAAGCCACGUGGAGCCAGACAGAACCACAAGCAUACCUGUGGUGCUUGGAGGCCCAAGUAGAAACUUGAAUGCUCACGGCUGCAUUGGCAGCUUCUACUUGCCUGCCUGGAUCACCGUUCCUCAUGAGAACUUGGAAAAGCAGGACUAUCAUUCUUGCUUGACAGACGAAGAAACCAAGCCUCAGGGAAAGAAGACAGAAAGCUUGGCUCAGCUAUGCUAACUUUCAGAAGGAGAAAAAAGCACCACGUUAGGACAGGGCCUGUUGGGACUCGCCGUGCUGCUGGUUCAUAAAUCUGAAGACAAGGAAACUAGACCUCCGUCAAUUUCCAAUCCCUUUUUCCUAUUGACCCCCACCCACUCUUCCCAGAUCACCAUUGGGAAUUUAGCUCUGAUUUUGAAUGCUGGGAACAGAGCUUGUGAAGACCCUGUAAGCCCUGGGAGGUUGAAAGGUGGCCAUUUGGUUUCUUCUCUGUGGAGAAGGGCAGGGGCUCCCUGCCCAGGCAAGGCCUCCAUUUGAGGACUCCCCUCGCAGGAGCCGAGCCCAUGGCCGGAUGGCUAUGUGGUCACUGAAGACUGGAAUCAGC
rnacentral:lncRNA from 1 species